UAUUAAUGCGGUCCUGUAUCCGACUGGUUCACCGCCGAUUUCUUAUUCGCGUAUAUGGACAAACUGUUGAACAACUAGUAGUGAGCCCACGCCAUCUGAGAUGGAAUGAAGGCCUCAGCCGAACAGGCGCUCGAGUCGCUAACUCAGAACUCAGAACUCAGAACGCACGAGGUCUUUCUCACAAUCAGAUUCCCAUAAUUUUUGUGCAUUUUGUAUUGUGUUUUUAUAAAGGUAUUAUAUAAAUUUACAAGUACAUUACAAUCUAUGCCAGUGCAGUUAAAUUUGUGAUCGAGAAAUGUUUGGUUUGACGUGAAAUUCUUGGAUUAAUUAGUGGUGUUGCUCAAAUGCGAAGACUGUUUACAUAUUUGACAAGGCUUAGAAAUGGCCCUCAGUAAUCCUCAACACAAUGAUGCAUAUACAGUUUG